GGCUGGUUAGCUCACUUGGCUGAGCGUGGUGCUUGUAACACCAAGGUCGCAGGUUCAAUCCCCGUUCAGUCC
rnacentral:tRNA from 1 species